GAUUAUGGCUCAGGAUGAACGCUAGCUACAGGCUUAACACAUGCAAGUCGAGGGGCAGCGGGAAGUUAGCUUGCUAACUUGCCGGCGACCGGCGCACGGGUGAGUAACGCGUAUCCAACCUUCCCCUUAGUAGGGCAUAGCCCGUAGAAAUGCGGAUUAAUACCCUAUGUUAUUCGUCGAGGACAUCUGAAGUGAAUCAAAGGUUUACCGCUAAGGGAUGGGGAUGCGUCUGAUUAGGCAGCAGGCGGGGUAACGGCCCACCUGGCCGACGAUCAGUAGGGGUUCUGAGAGGAAGGUCCCCCACACUGGCACUGAGACACGGGCCAGACUCCUACGGGAGGCAGCAGUGAGGAAUAUUGGUCAAUGGCCGAGAGGCUGAACCAGCCAAGUAGCGUGCAAGGAUGACGGCCCUACGGGUUGUAAACUGCUUUUGCGGGAGGAUAAGGUGCACUACGUGUAGUGCUUUGCAGGUAUCCCGUGAAUAAGGACCGGCUAAUUCCGUGCCAGCAGCCGC
rnacentral:rRNA from 1 species